rnacentral:rRNA from 1 species
UGGGGAAUCUUGCGCAAUGGGCGAAAGCCUGACGCAGCGACGCCGCGUGAGGGAGGAAGGCCUUCGGGUUGUAAACCUCUUUCAGGAGGGACGAAGCUACUCGGGUGAAUAGCCCAGAGGGUGACGGUACCUCCAGAAGAAGCCCCGGCUAACUACGUGCCAGCAGCCGCGGUAAUACGUAGGGGGCAAGCGUUGUCCGGAUUUACUGGGCGUAAAGAGCGUGUAGGCGGCCAAACAGGUCCGUUGUGAAAACUGGAGGCUUAACUUCCAGACGUCGACGGAAACCGUAUGGCUAGAGUCCGGAAGAGGAGAGUGGAAUUCCUGGUGUAGCGGUGAAAUGCGCAGAUAUCAGGAAGAACACCAAUGGCGAAGGCAGCUCUCUGGGACGGUACUGACGCUGAGACGCGAAAGCGUGGGGAGCGAACAGGAUUAGAUACCCGGGUAGUCC